AUUAAUCACGGAAUAGAUAAAUAAGGUUGGAAUGGUAAUGUAGGCGGGGCAAGCGUGCCACAGUUAUGAUAGAACAAACAUAACUCGACCGAUUCUUUCAUUCACCGCGUUUAGUGCGCUUCGGACUACUUGGCGAACAGAUCUCCGCUUUAUAGUGCCGUGUUGUGCAAUUAUAACUUGUAAAACAAAAAAUCAGACCUCAAGUAUAGAGCGAGGAGGUAUAUCUUUCGAUCGCAAGUUAUAAAUAGCAUACAUUGCGCGAUGUGUACUCGCCCAAUGAACGCAAUGACCAAGUCAGCUUCCAAUGUACUACAUGCAUUGCGUUCUCUACACUUCAAUCUUUGAAAUUUCGGCCUUUGCCCUGAUUGGCCGUGCAGUUUGUCGAUAGUGAGGUGACCAUGUGGUAAAAUCAUCGACAGAAUUCUCGACUAUAUUUACAUUUGACAUGGAUAAUUUUUGCAUUAUUUUAUAUUUAAUUAAUGAUACCUAGUAUAUUUUUAGUGAGACGUAUUUUGAGUAAAAUAAAUAUGUAUUAUUAUUAUUGAAUUAUUAUCAUUGAAUUAAAGUGAAGGUAUAAUAUAAAGGGACAUGUAGACCUCUAAUUUACGGGUAUUUACUAUAUUGUCUAAGACGUAUUAAAAUCUAAGUAAAAUGCUAUUUGACUUAUGCAGUAAAUUAAAAAUUUUAGGUUUCCUAAAGAACCUAACGCCAGGGAACAAUGGAUUGACGUGACAGGCAGAGGAAACUGGAGACAAAGACGAGUACUAUUUGCUCUAAACAUUUUACUGAAAAUGAUUUUAUCAUAAAAAAAAUCAGAAUACACUUAGUUUUGAAAAAUUCAUUCGCAAUUAAUAGCAAGCGCCAACUGCUUAACAAAUACGUUUUAUUCCAGCGACAGUGACUAUUUGUAAUUAAUAAAAGUAAAAUAGUUUUUUUUUUCAAUAUUUA